GGGGUGUAUGCUUGCUGGAUCCGCGUCGCGACGCUCAGUUCGUGACUGCGACGCUCAGUGGAAGCAACCCCUUCGCGUUGUGUGCAUCCAAUCACCACGUGUUCGCUCAUAGAAUACAAAUGCUGACUCUACUACUUGCAGUGAUCGCACAUAGUCAUGGUGUAGCUGGCCAUGGUCAAGGUCCAAUAUUCCAGCAUGAGCCGCCGCCCUGGCUGGAGUUGACCAACUCUAGUGGCGGAACUUUGUCCUGCUCCGCCCAAGGCACGCCACAGCCGGACAUCCGCUGGCUCGACCACACCGACAAGGAAGUCACUCACAUUCCCAGAUUACGAGAAGUGCUGCUGAACGGCAGUCUAUUCUUUCCACCCUUCGCAGCCGAGGAGUUCCGGCCAGAUGUUCACAGUGCCACUUACCGCUGUUUGGCCACCAAUCCAAUUGGAACCAUUGUCUCGCGUGCGUCAAAACUGCGUCCAGACAUGCAAGGCACGUACCCACUGCGCGCAGAGGACGCAGUCGUGCUGCAAGGCAACGUUGCCGUGUUGCGCUGCAGUGUUGCCAGUUCGGCGCACCACUUCCUCACCUGGUUGCACGACGAGCCGCUGAUAGGACGGUCGGCAGUGCACGCGGGCGGUCGUUAUGUCAUCACGUCGACGGGCGCUCUCCACGUGCGGGACACGUCGCAAGUCGAUUCCUACUCUCGGUUCUACUGCCAGACCGUCAACAAGGUCACAGGCGAACGACGGCUUAGUCCCGCCGCCAAGAUUAUUAUUACAGAGCCGAACGAUAACAUUCCACCUCGCAUAGAGAACUCGGUAUCGAGUGUUCACGCACGAAUUGGUUCGAGUACCGAGCUGAUAUGCGCUGCUCAGGGUUCACCUCCUCCCCAAUACAGGUGGUAUAAGGAGAAGGGAGACUCGCUAGAAGAGCUGUUGCCGGGUUCGAUAUCGGUGCGCCCUCUGGAUUCAGUUCUACAGCUGCCGCGAGUGAGGGCGGAGGACGGCGGUCGCUACGUGUGCGUGGCUAGCAACGUUCUCGGCGAGGACCGCAGGGAGCUUCUGCUGUCCGUCGCAUCCGCGCUUUCCGUACAUGUCCGGCCGCAGUAUCAGGCAGUGGACGGUGGUUCGUCGGCCGUGUUCAACUGCAGCGUCCAGGGGGGCAGCGGAGGUGGUAGCGGAGGCGGCGAGACCCCCAGUGUGCAGUGGCUGAAGGACGGGCGGCCGCUGCUCGAAGGCGGUCAGGUGGGCUUUGUGAGGGGUGGGGGCGGGGGUGGUUCCGAGACACUUUUAAUGAGAAGCGUGACCAAGCACAACCGUGGCAUGUACCAGUGCUUCGCACGCAGCGGCGAUGAGACUGCUCAGGCCAGUGCCGAGUUGGCGCUUGGAGCGAUUCCGCCAGAACUACAGUCGACGUUCAUCGAGCAAACCGUUCAGCCGGGUGUGACUGUGUCGCUGCGCUGCGUGGCGUCGGGCAACCCACCGCCCAGGGUGACGUGGCGUCUCGACGGCGGCGUACUGCCCGCCCAGGCCGCCUACAUGUUCGGCUCCUUCCACGACCCGUCCACGGGUGACGUCGUCAGCCAUCUUAACCUGACACACGUGCACGUGCAACAUGGCGGCCUCUACACGUGUGUGGCUCGCAACAAUCUGGCAUCCGUCGAGCAUUCGGCUGCGCUCAACGUCUAUGGCCCGCCAACAGCCCGGCAGGGAGCCGUGAACGUGACAGCGGUGUCCGGCGGCAGUGCGUGGCUGCGAUGCCCUGUUGCCGGCUUCCCGGUUUCCGGCACGACGUGGCAACGCCGCGCCGAGUCGCUUCCGGCGCACUACCGACACCGGCUGUUUGCCAACGGCACCCUCCUGGUGGCCAGGGUCGACUCAGGCCUCGAUGCGGGCGAGUACCGCUGCACCGUCAGGAACCAACAGGGACAGGCGGCCACUGGCCGGCUCUACCUCGAGAUCAUGAAACCUCCUCAAAUCCAGCCGUUCCAAUUUCCUGAUAAUCUGCAGGAAGGUCACAGGGCUCAGGUUUCCUGUACAAUCAUCUCGGGUGAUUUUCCUGUUGAUAUUUCCUGGUACAAGGAUGGUAGACCCCUCACUCAAGAGCCUGAUGUUCAACAACAGGUUCAUCAGUUUGUGAACGCUUUGUUCUUCAGUAAGCUGGGCGCCCACCACUCAGGCCACUACACCUGCAUUGCCAGAAAUGCAGCCGCUCAAACCAACUUCACUGCCAAGCUCAUUAUUAAAGUUGCUCCAACAUGGGCAAUAGAGCCUCAAGAUGUAUCGGUGUUGUAUCAGCAACCAGCUGUAAUCCGCUGCCAAGCCAAUGGAUUUCCUCCACCUCUCAUAACAUGGAUGAAGACAUCGGGAGAAGACCCAUCAGACUUUAUGCAAAUAGAGACCACUCCAGGAUUGUCAGUGUUUUCGAAUGGCACAAUUUACAUACGAUCAACUGAUUCCACUCAUGAAGGGCAAUACUCUUGCCAUGCUAAUAAUGGCAUAGGUAACGUCUUGAAGAAGACCAUUUUUCUGAGAGUUAAUGUUCCUGCGCACUUCGCGACGCGUACGGUGAACCGAAGUGGCGUGGCGGGCGAAGAGGUGACGCUGACCUGUGAGGUGGACGGUGACCUGCCUGUGCAGGUGUUGUGGAGUGCAUCCCCUCGCUUACACCUCCCACCAGCCCACUCCCGCCACACGGCGCGUGGCGUCGCCUCCGAGAUCCGCUUCAUCAAUGUGACGCGUCGUGACGCCGGCACCUACCACUGCAACGCUCACAAUCACUACGGCCAGGACAGUAUGACCAUACAUCUCGCUGUCAAAGAGCCGCCAGACGUGCCUUCGCGCGUUGAGUUGGUGGAAGUGGGAAGUCGAUGGGUGAGCGUGCGGUGGGCGGCGGGUGGAGGGGGGGACCAGGCCCCCAUCACCCAGUACCUCGUGCAGUUCCAGCCAGUGCACGCCUCUUCCCAACAGGUGUGGAGCAAUGUGAGCGUGGGCGGCGCAGUGCACUCUGCGCACCUGAGUGCCCUCUCCCCCGCCUCCGGCUAUCAGGUGCGCGUGCUCGCCGUCAACGAGGUCGGUGUCUCCGCCCCCAGUCCGCCAAUUGUCGCCAACACACUCCAGGAAGCUCCAAGUGCUGCACCAGAGGGAGUGACUGCUGAUGAUAUCAGCCCUGAGACUCUUAUGAUCAAAUGGAAGACGCCGCUGUCGCUGAGCGACGAAGAGGUGCUGGGUUACCAGGUGAGCUUCCGCGAGGUGACGCGCGGCGCGCCGCAAACGCGUACGGUGCGUGGUCGACUCAAGCAGCAGCUGCUGUUGACGGGGUUGCGUCAUUUCGCGCGCUACGAGAUCACUGUGCGCGCCUUCAACCAAGUUGGCCUCGGCGCCACCUCAGCGCCGAUCGUCGCCACCACCACUGAGGGUGUUCCAGACCAGCCUCCUUUGGAAGUGAGAUGCUCUGCACUUUCUUCACAGAGCCUUCGUAUUCGCUGGGAGCCGCCACAUCAGGAUCACACCAAUGGCAUACUGCAAGGAUAUAAGAUUAUUUACAAAUAUGUCAGCCCUCAUCCAGAGAAUGUGGCAGAGAUUGAAGUGAAAAAGACAACCAACCUUGAGACGAACCUGCAUGGCUUGUUCAAGUCAGCCAAUUACUCAAUUAGAGUUGUGGCGUUCACGGGUACUGGUGAAGGUGUCGCAUCUGCGCCUAUAUACUGCCUUACCCAAGAGGAUGUACCUGGACCUCCGGAGCAGGUCAAAGCUCUAGUCAUGACUUCAGAAAGUAUCCUCGUUACCUGGACCCGACCGCUAGAGCCGAAUGGCAAAAUAAUCAAAUACAACAUCUACAUUGUUCAGCCAGAUAAGGAGACAGUGAAGGAGAUAUCGUUCGAGGAUGACGUUCAUGCCUACGAGUGCCGCCGAUUGAAAGAAUUUCAAAGAUAUGAGUUCUGGGUGUCAGCUUCAACCAGCAUCGGUGAAGGCCAACCUAGUGUUAAGAUCACGCAAACACCUCUGUCUAGAGUUCCGGCAAGAAUUGCAUCGUUCUCGGGUCGAGUUGUGGGUACGGCCGGUAGCAAGUUAAUCCUUGGCUGCCACACGGUUGGUCUUCCAGCGCCUACUAGAGUCUGGAGGGAUCCAACUGGAGCCAUUCUCACGCACAACUCUGGCACUCACAAGGUUGCCGACACAGGAAGCCUGGUUGUGAGCCCGCUGUGGAGAGACAUGGCUGGCAACUACUCGUGUCAGGCGGAGAAUGUGUUCGGCAGAGAUCAGGUGGUCUACCAUGUGGUGGUCAUCAUCCCCCCCGCGCCCCCCACCCUAGGGGUCAGCUCCACCUCCACGCACAGCAUUGCCCUCCAGUGGAAGAUCGCUUCCAAUGGCGGCAGUCAGAUUAAUGGAUACAUUCUGAACUAUCGACCGAAAAACAAGGAAUGGCAGCAAAUUACUUUGGAUGCUGACAGAAGAACAUACAACUUGGACAAAUUAUCUUGUGGCACCCAAUAUGAAGUGUAUUUGCAAGCAAGUAACGCUGUAGGAAAAGGCAAAGCAAGUCAGAUACUUAUCACAUCAACAAAGGGUGAUGUUCCAGGAGUAGCCGAACAAGACGACCUGCUUUCCGUCAAUUCGACGUCGGCAACAAUUUUCCUGGAGAGUUUUCCUUCGGGCGCAUGUCCCAUCAAACAGGUUGGCGCCUCUUACAGGGCACAGGGCGACCAGACCUGGCACAGUCUCGGAUCGGAGCUGGGGCCGCACGACGAGGUCACCAUUCCCAACCUGAAACCGGCCACGCGUUACUACUUGCGACUGGUGGCUGCUAACGACGCCGGAAUCACCAGGCAGGAAUAUGUGUUCGCGACUAGGUCAAAAAAUGGAGAACUGAUUCCAUUGGAGUUGAUCCCUGAACAGCCUUCUUCAUCCCUGCUGGCGCAACUCAAUGUCCUCAUUCCUCUCACUUCUGCGAUAUUAUGCGCCAUAGCUCUCAGCUCUUUCGCCUGCUUAUUGUUCAGGAGAAGACAAUACUCUGGCUAUAAAGCAGCCGAAAUAUCUGGAGGGAAGAGUCUAGUCGAACUGGAGAAUCAGAGGAACAAUGAUCAGCAAGGAAGGACGUAUUCGCCGUCUCCGGCCCGAAAGCUCGACUCCUCACUCAGUGUGCAUAAAGGAAGCGACACUUCUGAUUACGAGAUCUGUCCGUAUGCAACAUUCAGUCUUCCAACGCAGCCGGUCGGUCACUCAUUGCAAUUCCAGACAUUCAGCCAGCGAGACUGCUACGAGGGGAGACCCAUGAAGGACUUCCAGCACUAUUCCAGAACAAGGUCGCGGGCUGGAACAUCCAAGAGCCCACCUGACGGUUUGAGCUUAGAAAUCGCCUGCAUUUCGAGCCAGCAAACACUGCCAGUUGGGAGGAAAGGGGGCGGAGGGGGGAAAGGUCCGACUGGUGGUGGAGGAGGAGGAGUAGUUGGAGGAGGAGGGAGUACGACAUUCAUGUCUGACUCGGACAGCAGUGGUGACAAGCCACCCCGCCACAGGAAUCCCACGCCGGGUCUCACGCAGAGGAACACAGAAUCGACAGUUUUCGAGCUGGACUCGAGCACCGAGUCAGCCGAGGCGUCACCGGAAGUGGCACGUCGUCAUGUGACUCGGAGGGGGGUUCCACCAAGGUAGCGCAACAGCAGUAUCAGCAGCAGCAAGAGCAGCAGCAGCCGUGCGCGGGAGAGAGAGCGCGAACGGGAGAGAGAGCGAGAGAGAGAGCGCUGCCCGACCCUCCCCCUCCCCCAUCCUCUGCCCCUCCAGCCACCGUCCGGCUUUUCGGACAGCCGGGAAUUGUCGGAGGCGGAAUGCGACCGCGACCGCGACAGGACCGCUGCACCGGACAACUCACAAGCGGUCAGCGGACUUCGGCUGCUCAGACAUGAGGAGCUCGAACAACAGCUGUCCACACUAGUCAAGAGAUAUCGCCAAGAAAGAGACAGGGAGAAACAGGACUACACUAUUCACGUUUGAGUUUGGUUACUCCUUCAAUGAAUUUGCUCAAAAAUAUCUUCCUAUGAUAUUGCUAGGUUGAAGCAGGGUACACAGCAGUCAUUGCUUACUUUUGUUUCUCAUACAAUACCAAGAAAAAUAAUAGCUUAACCGUCUUGUAAAGAUCAAGCAUAUAAAAUAGACAAACAAAAAUUGAAACUGGCCUAUUAAUUGUUUCAUGUUUAAAGUUAUCAGAGAGUUUCUCCACCGCUCCUCUAAUAUGGGCAUGAUUUUUCUUAAGCUAGUCAAAAGUCGAUAAAGGAGACAAAUAUAGGAUAGGAUUCAAUAUCCACUGUAAAAAAAAAUUAUACUGGGUGACGAAAUAGUAAUUUAUUGAAUCUAUUUGUUUUAAUGUGGAAUUAUGUCAUCUUGUAAUCUGUAAUAGAAUAAAAAAUAUACUUCAUAGUUCAAACCAAUGUACCUAGAAUACAAUGUAUUCUAGAUACCUUGGUUCAAACCAGGAUUUUUCGUGGGAAGGAAGAUAACAAUAACAAGGAGUUUGCGCUUGUUUCAAAAUGAUGACUCAUAUCAGCUCUUGAUUGCUGGACUCGUAAAUACCAGUUCAUAAAUGCUUUCAUUCAUACUGAAUCUCGUACUCUCAUUUUAAUUCAGUUCAGUAUUCAUUUACUACUCUCUGAGUUCUGUGAAUCAGUCUUGCUGCUCCAAAACUCUCACUCACGCAUGUUUGUUCACAUCGUCUCUCAGCUCGCAAAACAGACUAUAGGCCUCUAUUAUUGGUGUACAGUGUAGUGAGAUUCACUUUAAAGUUUAAACUGUUAGCAUUCCUUAUAAAUAACAUUAAUACUCUUCAUUAAACUAGUACUGACAAUUUUUAAAGUGAAUCCCACUGUAGAAGGUAAAACUUAAUAUCUGAUGUUCAACGCGUGAAUGACAAUUGAAAUAAUUCUUCUUCCAAAAGACAUAAGACGGACAUUUUUCGAACAAUAGAUCAAUACCUUAUCCUUUGACACGAUGGAUGCAAUUCUGAGCAAUAGAUCAUUUUUCUGCUAUUGAAUUGAAUUUAUUGCGAUGAAAGAUGAAAAAUACAUAAUUGUACAAUAAUAGUUCCAGAUAAAUGUUACAAUAGAUGGGAACUAAUCAAUAAUUAUGGUAACCGCAACGGUAGCUUCAAGAAGUUUAAUGAAAAGUUUCAUCGAAUUAACUUUCAAAAAAUAAUGUUUUAAAGAGAUUUCGGUUGAGAAGACAGUUCAUCCAAAACCCAAACAAUUAUAGUAGGAUUUACUUUGAGUUUUCAGCAUUCCUCAUAAAUAACAUCAUGGCUUCCCAUUCAAACCGUUUGAAGUAAAUCUCACUUCAGUGAACCAAGCUACUCUUACUGGUCUGAAUAAAAACUAGACUACUAGCUUCCUUUAUAAAAAUCAAUGUUACAAUCCAUAGAAAAACAUAAUCUUUCCUAAUCAUAUCUUUCAACUUUUCUAAUUUUCUACGGGAAUUUCUAUAAAUUCUACAAACUAUAGACUAUAUACAGAAUACAAUGAACAGUUUAUAUUAGCAUCCAGAAACUCAAGAAGUGUUGUUUUUUCUAAAUGGCUAUUAAUUUAUUGUAGACUUUAGUGUAAAUAUUGUACUCCAUGUAUGGCCAUAUUAUAUGUAUAUUUAAAAGCUCUACAUAAAUUAAAUAUGUAUUCUAUUUCUGUUGAGAUAUAUGAGACAUUGACGAUCAAAGACCAAAAAAUUACUAGAUGUUUGUAGACUGAAAGAAACUGGAGGUCGUCUUCAGAGUUGUUAUUGUAUCCUCAACAAGAUAUUGUUAUUAUUUAUUGAUGUCAAAUUUUGAAAUUCCUAGGAUAUAAAUAUAUUAGAUUAGAUGUGAAAUUAUUAAUUUGAGUAUGUUAUACACUUAUAAAACAUUUUCAUAAUUUUCUAAGAUUCAAAGAAUAAUACGUUAUUUUAUUAUCAGUAAACUGAUGAAAGCUAAAUUUAGUAAUCAGUGCCUUAUUCAUUAGUUUGAAACUGAUAAAUUUAUUCAGAAUUGAGAUUAUCCUAUGUAUGUUGAUGUACAGUUGAUGGAAUAAUAAAUAAUUUAUGAAUAGUA
rnacentral:misc_RNA from 1 species